GACGAACGCUGGCGGCGUGCUUAACACAUGCAAGUCGAACGGUGAUCUUGAGAGCUUGCUCUUGGGUGAUCAGUGGCGAACGGGUGAGUAACACGUGAGUAACCUGCCCCUGACUCUGGAAUAACUUCGGGAAACCGAAGCUAAUACCGGAUAUGACACAGAAUCGCAUGGUUUCUGUGUGGAAAGUUUUUCGGUUGGGGAUGGACUCGCGGCCUAUCAGCUUGUUGGUGAGGUAAUGGCUCACCAAGGCGACGACGGGUAGCCGGCCUGAGAGGGCGACCGGCCACACUGGGACUGAGACACGGCCCAGACUCCUACGGGAGGCAGCAGUGGGGAAUAUUGCACAAUGGGCGAAAGCCUGAUGCAGCGACGCCGCGUGAGGGAUGAAGGCCUUCGGGUUGUAAACCUCUUUCAGUAGGGAAGAAGCGCAAGUGACGGUACCUACAGAAGAAGCACCGGCUAACUACGUGCCAGCCGCCGCCGUAACAC
rnacentral:rRNA from 1 species